rnacentral:rRNA from 1 species
GGACGAACGCUGGCGGCGUGCCUAAUACAUGCAAGUCGAACGGCUUUUCUAUGGAAGCUUGCUUCCACUGAGAAGAUAGUGGCGAACGGGUGAGUAACACGUGGGUAACCUGCCCAUAAGAGGGGGAUAACAUCCGGAAACGGGUGCUAAUACCGCAUAGUUUUCUUGAUCGCAUGAUUGAGAAAGGAAAGACGGCCUUUGUGCUGUCGCUUAUGGAUGGACCCGCGGCGUAUUAGUUAGUUGGUGAGGUAACGGCUCACCAAGACGAUGAUACGUAGCCGACCUGAGAGGGUGAUCGGCCACAUUGGGACUGAGACACGGCCCAAACUCCUACGGGAGGCAGCAGUAGGGAAUCUUCCGCAAUGGACGAAAGUCUGACGGAGCAACGCCGCGUGAGUGAAAGAAGGUUUUCGGAUCGUAAAACUCUGUUGUCAGAGAAGAACAAGUUGGAGAGUAACUGCUCCAGCCUUGACGGUAUCUGACCAGAAAGCCACGGCUAACUACGUGCCAGCCGCCGC